ACCUGCGGAGGAUCAUUAUUGUACAACGGAGGUGUGAGGGCUGUCGCUGACCUUCAAAGGUCGUGCACGCCCAAGCACUUUCAUACAAUCCAUCUCACCCCUUUGUGCAUCACCGCGUGGGUCCCCCUUGCGGGAGGGCUCGCGUUUUCACAUAAAACUCGAUACAGUGUAGAAUGUUCUUUUGCGAUCACACGCAAUCAAUACAACUUUCAACAAUGGAUCUCUUGGCUCUCGCAUCGAUGAAGAACGCAGCGAAAUGCGAUACGUAAUGUGAAUUGCAGAAUUCAGUGAAUCAUCGAAUCUUUGAACGCACCUUGCGCCCCUUGGCAUUCCGAGGGGCACACCCGUUUGAGUGUCGUGAAAUCCUCAAAAACCCUUUUCCUGUCAGGAAUGGGAUUUUUGGACUUGGAGGUUCAAUGCUUGCCUUUCACUUUUGAAAGUGAGCUCCUCUCAAAUGAAUUAGUGGGGUCCGCUUUGCUGAUCCUUAACGUGAUAAGAUGCUUCUACGUUUUGGAUCUAGCACUGUCCCUUGGAUGCCUGCUCCUAACUGUCCCACACGGACAAUGAUGGUGCUCUGGUCACCGCCAUCUACAUUGGCGGGAGGCUGGACCCACAAAACGAAAACCUUGACCUCAAAUCGGGUGAGACUACCCGCUGAACUUAAGCAUAUCAAUAAGCCGGAGGA
rnacentral:rRNA from 1 species